rnacentral:rRNA from 1 species
UACGAAGGGGGCUAGCGUUGCUCGGAAUCACUGGGCGUAAAAGGUGCGUAGGCGGGUCUUUAAGUCAGGGGUGAAAUCCUGGAGCUCAACUCCAGAACUGCCUUUGAUACUGAAGAUCUUGAGUUCGGGAGAGGUGAGUGGAACUGCGAGUGUAGAGGUGAAAUUCGUAGAUAUUCGCAAGAACACCAGUGGCGAAGGCGGCUCACUGGCCCGGUACUGACGCUGAGACGCGAAAGCGUGGGGAGCGAACAGG